rnacentral:rRNA from 1 species
CUCGACUACAUGAAGCUGGAAUCGCUAGUAAUCGCAGAUCAGAAUGCUGCGGUGAAUACGUUCCCGGGUCUUGUACACACCGCCCGUCACACCAUGGGAGCCGGAAAUGCCCGAAGCCAGUGACCCAACUGCAAAGAGGGAGCUGUCGAAGGCAGGUCUGAUAACUGGGGUGAAGUCGUAACAAGGUACC